rnacentral:rRNA from 1 species
AGAGUUUGAUCCUGGCUCAGGACGAACGCUGGCGGCGUGCUUAACACAUGCAAGUCGAACGGGAGGAAAAGAGAAGCUUGCUUCUUUUUGAAUCUAGUGGCAAACGGGUGAGUAACACGUAAACAACCUGCCUUCAGGAUGGGGACAACAGACGGAAACGACUGCUAAUACCGAAUGUGUUCCGGAGACCGCAUGAUUUCCGGAAGAAAGGAUGGCCUCUAUUUAUAAGCUAUCGCCUGAAGAGGGGUUUGCGUCUGAUUAGGCAGUUGGUGAGGUAACGGCCCACCAAACCUACGAUCAGUAGCCGGUCUGAGAGGAUGAACGGCCACACUGGAACUGAGACACGGUCCAGACUCCUACGGGAGGCAGCAGUGGGGAAUCUUCCGCAAUGGACGAAAGUCUGACGGAGCAACGCCGCGUGAGUGAUGAAGGAUUUCGGUCUGUAAAGCUCUGUUGUUUAUGACGAACGUGCAGUGUGUGAACAAUGCAUUGCAAUGACGGUAGUAAACGAGGAAGCCACGGCUAACUACGUGCCAGCAGCCGCGGUAAUACGUAGGUGGCAAGCGUUGUCCGGAAUUAUUGGGCGUAAAGGGCGCGCAGGCGGCGUCGUAAGUCGGUCUUAAAAGUGCGGGGCUUAACCCCGUGAGGGGACCGAAACUGCGAUGCUAGAGUAUCGGAGAGGAAAGCGGAAUUCCUAGUGUAGCGGUGAAAUGCGUAGAUAUUAGGAGGAACACCAGUGGCGAAAGCGGCUUUCUGGACGACAACUGACGCUGAGGCGCGAAAGCCAGGGGAGCAAACGGGAUUAGAUACCCCGGUAGUCCUGGCCGUAAACGAUGGAUACUAGGUGUAGGAGGUAUCGACCCCUUCUGUGCCGGAGUUAACGCAAUAAGUAUCCCGCCUGGGGAGUACGGCCGCAAGGCUGAAACUCAAAGGAAUUGACGGGGGCCCGCACAAGCGGUGGAGUAUGUG